UAAGGCCUAUGCAAAGCUUUGGGUGA
rnacentral:piRNA from 1 species